rnacentral:rRNA from 1 species
CAGCCGCCGCGGGAAUACGUAGGGUGCGAGCGUUAAUCGGAUUUACUGGGCGUAAAGCGUGCGUAGGCGGCUUUUUAAGUCGGAUGUGAAAUCCCUGAGCUUAACUUAGGAAUUGCAUUCGAUACUGGGAAGCUAGAGUAUGGGAGAGGAUGGUAGAAUUCCAGGUGUAGCGGUGAAAUGCGUAGAGAUCUGGAGGAAUACCGAUGGCGAAGGCAGCCAUCUGGCCUAAUACUGACGCUGAGGUACGAAAGCAUGGGGAGCAAACAGGAUUAGAUACCCCUGUAGUCCCUGUCUCUUAUAC